GAUGCCUUUCGGGUCCAGGGGGACAAAGUGAAAACUCCCAGCCCCUGCACACCGUGCUGAAGGUUUAAGUACAAUAUACACCCCGACCGACCAGGGGAGCUCGCCAAACCCUCAGGCAAAGAAUGUGUAAAUAAAACCCUUGGAAUUGGAGCGGCAGAGUUAAGUUUUGAUGAAUGGGGCGAGGAGAAGAAAUGGAUGCCACAGGAGAAAGGAUCUAACGCUCCCCCGGUGAAUGGAGAAAGGCAGGCACACAAUUUUUGAAUGACUAAAGAGAUCUGACUGUAUCAUGGCAACCUCAUUGUUGACUGCUGGCCAAUUACGAGGAACUUCUAUAGAAUUCAGGAAGGAAUGGUCUCUUGCUGUUGCCAAAGCAAAAGCUGCAGCGACGUUAACAGGGAAGAGAGACUCUGUCCUAGGGUAUUUGCAGCAGGGGACAGAGACCACAGGCAACUCAACGUCACCGAAGUCAAAG